GACGUAGGGCGCGAGCGUUGUCCGGAUUUAUUGGGCGUAAAGAGCUCGUAGGCGGCUUGUCGCGUCGACUGUGAAAACCCGCGGCUCAACCGCGGCCUGCAGUCGAUACGGGCAGGCUAGAGUUCGGUAGGGGAGACUGGAAUUCCUGGUGUAGCGGUGAAAUGCGCAGAUAUCAGGAGGAACACCGGUGGCGAAGGCGGGUUGCUGGGCUGACACUGACGUGAGGCGCGAAAGCGUGGGGAGCAAACAGG
rnacentral:rRNA from 1 species